rnacentral:rRNA from 1 species
UACGUAGGGGGCAAGCGUUGUCCGGAAUUAUUGGGCGUAAAGCGCGCGCAGGCGGUCCAUUAAGUUGGGUGUUUAAGCCCGGGGCUCAACCCCGGUACGCAUCCAAAACUGGUUGACUUGAGUGUAGGAGAGGAAAGUGGAAUUCCACGUGUAGCGGUGAAAUGCGUAGAGAUGUGGAGGAACACCAGUGGCGAAGGCGACUUUCUGGCCUAUAACUGACGCUGAGGCGCGAAAGCGUGGGGAGCAAACAGG